rnacentral:rRNA from 1 species
UACGGAGGGUGCAAUCGUUAUCCGGAAUCACUGGGCGUAAAGGGCGCGUAGGUGGUCUGUUAAGUCUGGCGUUAAAGCCUGGGGCUCAACCCCAGAUCAGCGUUGGAUACUGGCAGGCUAGACGGUUGGAGAGGCGAGUGGAAUUACCAGUGUAGCGGUGGAAUGCGUAGAUACUGGUAGGAACACCCAUUGCGAAGGCAGCUCGCUGGACAACACGUGACACUGAGGCGCGAAAGCGUGGGGAGCAAACCGGAUUAGAUACCCCGGUA